UACGAACCGUACGAACGUUAUUCGGAAUCACUGGGCUUAAAGAGUGCGUAGGCGGCUUAGUAAGUUGGGUGUGAAAGCCCUCGGCUCAACCGAGGAAUUGCGCCCAAAACUACUAGGCUUGAGGGAGGCAGAGGUAAGCGGAACUAAUGGUGGAGCGGUGAAAUGCGUUGAUAUCAUUAGGAACACCUGAGGCGAAAGCAGCUUACUGGGUCUCUUCUGACGCUGAGGCACGAAAGCUAGGGGAGCGAACGGG
rnacentral:rRNA from 1 species